rnacentral:rRNA from 1 species
CCUACGGGUGGCAGCAGUGGGGGAUAUUGCACAAUGGGGGAAACCCUGAUGCAGCGACGCCGCGUGUGGGAAGACGGUCCUCUGGAUUGUAAACCACUGUCCCCAGGGACGAAGAUGACGGUACCUGGGGAGGAAGCUCCGGCUAACUACGUACCAGCAGCCGCGGUAAUACGUAGGGAGCGAGCGUGGUCCGGAAUUACUGGGUGUAAAGGGAGCGUAGGCGGGACUGCAAGUUGGGGGUAAAAUCUACCGGUUCAACCGGUAGCCGCACUCAAAACUGCAGUUCUUGAGUGAAGUAGAGGCAGGCGGAAUUCCUAGUGUAGCGGUGAAAUGCGUAGAUAUUAGGAGGAACACCAGUGGCGAAGGCGGGCUGCUGGGCUUUUACUGACGCUGAGGCUCGAAAGUGUGGGGAGCAAACAGGAUUAGAUACCCCUGUAGUC